AGUCACGCAUCAAUCUACACAUCUCCGGCACGGCACAGAGUGACGGAGAGAACAUGCAAAAUCCAGGGAGUCAGAAUUGAACCCAGGUUGCCAAGGAGCAGUGAGGCAGCAGUUCCUCUACCUGCAUCCACAGACUGCCCAGGGGUUUUGACUCUUCAUCAAAGCAUUCGUUCAGUGAUUCUUUCUCAAAGAUGUGUAGAUAUCACUUGGGGGGCCUCAGUGAAGGCCACCUGUAGAUUCCAAACACAACGAAGUACACACUUAAACCUAUAGGUGGCAGUAUGGUUCACUUUUCAUAACUGGGCUUGGCAUGCAAUUUGCAGUUGUUUGCAUUUUUAAUUCCCAUUCCAAAGAAAAUUAGAUCCACUUGAUUACACCUUUUAUGUAAGUGGAUUAGAGCACAGUCCCAAAAGAGGACUAAUUAGAAGAACUUUAGUUACUGCUCUGAUUUUCUUUCUCCAACUGCGACUCUUUAAUUUGCCCUGCAUUAACCGCCACAGGGGAACAGAAGUCAGGCUCACUCAGAGGAGGCCUUCUCUCUGUUCACGAAUGAAGGUCAGCUCGUUUUUUCCUUCACGCUCCAGUGUCUGCACACAGAUGGGGUUUCCUUCGUUUGACCUUCAAAACAUGAGGAAUUGCAGAAACCAUUUGGAAAUCCAUUCUAGGGCUACCGAACAGUGGUUUUCCUCACCUCCUUCAUCUCACCCAGAAUGCAGGGCUACACAUUCGCCUAAAUCGGCCACUGUUUUAUUCCCUUGACCCCUGGUGAAACUUUGAACAAUGAUCCUUGGUCCUUCAGCUGCAAUUCUUUUUAAGCUGAACAAGAAGAAAUCUGGCUUUCUUUAGUCGGGGAGAUUAUGAAGUUCUCGCUGUUCUCAUGCGGGUAAGAUGACGGUACACAUCUUUGUGCAUCGUGCUUCUAACAAGAAGACCCAAAAAACAAUGGAUGGGCUCUUAUCCUGAUAUGUCCCCAUCAGCUGUGUUCUGAAACACUAUGAGAAGUUCCCAGGAACACACAGCAAGAAGCAUUGAAUGCUGCUAAUAGAUCAUCAGCUUGCAGCAGGAUUCUCUUUGGUUUGGCCAAAACAAGUUCAUCUUCAAUGUAACAAAACGCCUGGAAAUGAAUGCUGCCAACUGCUAUAUUUCAGUCUGCAGUUGUGUAUGCUAAGGAAUUUAUUGAAGCCUGAUGUAGCCAACUAAAAGGCUUUGUAGAGAGGGACUGCAGUUUUAAUAUUGUGUGGGCAUUGGACACUGAGGGAUGGGGUCCUGCUUACUAGCACCUCAAAAGUGUGUUUAAAGAUGCCAUACGAGUGUCACUGGGGCCUUAUAAACAGAAUGGGCUGAUUUGACGGCACAAUGAAUGUAUUGAUUUGAUGACACUACGUACAUACAAAAAUUCACACUGAUUGUGUCGAUUUCCUCCAUGUAUUUUUAUGAAUAAAGUUGACUUUCGAAAGAAAAGACUUAGAAUUGGGAGAAUACCCUAAAAAUUAGCCCAGUGAUAACAUAGAAAGCACUUAGUCCACAUACAGAGGAGCAGAAAUCUGCACAUCCCUUCCCCAAGUUCGGAUCACUGAAACAUUUUAUAACCCUC